CCUACGGGCGGCAGCAGUGAGGAAUAUUGGUCAAUGGGCGCGAGCCUGAACCAGCCAAGUAGCGUGAAGGAUGACUGCCCUACGGGUUGUAAACUUCUUUUAUAAAGGAAUAAAGUGAGGCAUGUGUGCCUUUUUGUAUGUACUUUAUGAAUAAGGAUCGGCUAACUCCGUUCCAGCAGCCGCGGUAAUACGGAGGAUCCGAGCGUUAUCCGGAUUUAUUGGGUUUAAAGGGAGCGUAGAUGGGUUGUUAAGUCAGUUGUGAAAGUUUGCGGCUCAACCGUAAAAUUGCAGUUGAUACUGGCUGUCUUGAGUGCAGUAGAGGUAGGCGGAAUUCGUGGUGUAGCGGUGAAAUGCUUAGAUAUCACGAAGAACUCCGAUUGCGAAGGCAGCUUACUGGACUGCAACUGACACUGAUGCUCGAAAGUGUGGGUAUCAAACAGGAUUAGAUACCCGAGUAGUC
rnacentral:rRNA from 1 species